ACCCACUCCUGGCACGGGGAGGUAGUGACGAAAAAUAACAAUACGGGACUCGUUCGAGGCCCCGUAAUUGGAAUGAGUACACUCUAAAUCCUUUAACGAGGAUCUAUUGGAGGGCAAGUCUGGUGCCAGCAGCCGCGUAAUUCCAGCUCCAAUAGCGUAUAUUAAAGUUGUUGCAGUUAAAAAGCUCGUAGUUGGAUCUCGGGUUUGGGCUGGCGGUCCCUAGCGCGNUUACUGCCACGUCCCGANNNNCCUACCUGCCGGCCACCNUUGAUGCUCUUGACUGAGUGUCUCGGGCCGACCGGAACGUUUACUUUGAAAAAAUUAGAGUGUUCAAANNANNNNNNNNNNUCGCNUGAAUAAUGGUCGAUGGAAUAAUGGAAUAGGACCUCGGUNCUAUUUUCGCGAGGUUCGGAACUGGAGGUAAUGAUUAAGAGGGCAGGACGGGGGCAUUCGAUUACC
rnacentral:rRNA from 1 species